GGUACGGCUGCCUUGGGUUCAUCUUACUUGUUAAAUGCCCUUUUGCAUAAGCUAAUUUAGGAACUUCUCAUCAGUAUUAUUGCAAAACCAACACAACCCAACACAACAGUAUGAGUCAGUGUUAUAUUUAUAAUAUAUAUAUAUAUAUAUAUAUAUGUUUUCAACACUCUUUCCGAUCUCUUACUAUAAAGCUGUGUGGGUUAGGGUUAUCAGUUUGCAGAAACAAAGAGGGAGAGAUAUGGAGAGCUAGCGGAGGAGGCUAGCUAGGGUAAUUUGGUGUAUGUUGGGGGGAAUGUUGGCUGGCUCGAGGCUUUCACAUGGAGGUUCUUCAUGUAAAAAGGAACUCUUGAGGCUUCGGACCAGGCUUCAUUCCCCUCAAACUUGUACACACUCGAUUCAUUCAUGGAGAUAUAUAUUGUCUUCUUCAGGCCAGCCAGUUUAAUGCACAAUUAUUCAAUGGGCUUCGAUGUGCAUGGUUAAUCUCGAUCGUGAAGGUUAGGUUGAGAGGAAUGUUGUCUGGCUCGAGGUCAUGGAGGUUGAUUCUCUAUGAUACUUUUCCGGGGUUAAGUUUCAGUACAAAGUACUGGAAAAGUUCAUAAUUUGAACCCUAAAUGAUUCUCGGACCAGGCUUCAUUCCCCCCAACCAGCAUUUGCUGCAGCUAGCCAGCUGCAUCUACUUAUGAUUCCUAGCUCCUUGUUCAUCUCUUUCACCAUCCUUCUACACAAUUAAAUGAGAGAAACCUUCCUGGUACUGAGGCUUUCCUUUGAUUUCUCCAAUAUGUGUGCAGGUUAGAAAUCGCGCGCAGUAUAUAUCUUUCUCAUACUUUCAGCUGAGCAUCCUUAUCGCAGCAGCUUUGUUCGAGGAUGAUCACCAAGAUACAUCCCCUUGCCUCUUCCAGUCUUCCUCUUGCAAAAGAACUACAUAAAAUAGUUUGAUCGAUUCAAGCAUUGAAUCAGAAAUCUCUCAGAAAAUCACUAUACAUAUCUUUCCAAAACCAAAUAUUGUGACAAAUAAAAACCUAUUACGUA